UACGGGGGGGGCAAGCGUUGUUCGGAAUUACUGGGCGUAAAGGGCGCGUAGGCGGGUCGCUAAGUCCGGGGUGAAAGCCCCCAGCUUAACUGGGGAAGUGCCUCGGAUACUGGCGGCCUCGAGGGGGAUAGGGGCCCGCGGAACUUCGGGUGGAGCGGUGAAAUGCGUUGAUAUCCGAAGGAACGCCGGUGGCGAAAGCGGCGGGCUGGAUCCCUUCUGACGCUGAGGCGCGAAAGCCAGGGGAGCAAACGGG
rnacentral:rRNA from 1 species